rnacentral:rRNA from 1 species
GACGAACCGUGCGAACGUUAUUCGGAAUCACUGGGCUUAAAGGGCGCGUAGGCGGGCGGCUUUGUCAGGGGUGAAAUCUUCCGGCCCAACCGGAAGACUGCCUCUGAGACGGGCCGUCUCGAGGGAGGUAGGGGCAUGCGGAACUUCCGGUGGUGCGGUGAAAUGCGUAGAUAUCGGAAGGAACGCCGGUGGCGAAAGCGGCGUGCUGGACCUCUUCUGACGCUGAGGCGCGAAAGCCAGGGGAGCAAACGGGAUUAGAUACCCCGGUAGUCCUGGCCCUAAACGAUGGGUACUAGAUUGUGGACUGGACAUGGGUUCACAGUCGAAGCAAAAGUGUUAAGUACCCCGCCUGGGGAGUAUGGUCGCAAGGCUGAA